AUCAUGGCUCAGAUUGAACGCUGGCGGCAGGCCUAACACAUGCAAGUCGAGCUGAUGAAGGGAGCUUGCUCCUGGAUUCAGCGGCGGACGUGUGAGUAAUGCCUAGGAAUCUGCCUGGUAGUGGGGGAUAACGUCCGGAAACGGGCGCUAAUACCGCAUACGUCCUGAGGGAGAAAGUGGGGGAUCUUCGGACCUCACGCUAUCAGAUGAGCCUAGGUCGGAUUAGCUAGUUGGUGGGGUAAAGGCCUACCAAGGCGACGAUCCGUAACUGGUCUGAGAUGAUGAUCAGUCACACUGGAACUGAGACACGGUCCAGACUCCUACGGGAGGCA
rnacentral:rRNA from 1 species